AAUCAACGCUGGCGGCGUGCCUCAGACAUGCAAGUCGAACGAUUAAAGCUCUCUUCGGAGAGUGCAUAGAGUGGCGCACGGGUGAGUAACACGUAAGUAAUCUACCCUCGAGUGGGGAAUAACGUCCGGAAACGGACGCUAAUACCGCAUAAUGCAGCGGCACCGCAAGGUGACAGUUGUUAAAGAUUUAUCGCUUGAGGUGGAGCUUGCGGCAGAUUAGCUAGUUGGUAAGGUAAUGGCUUACCAAGGCUACGAUCUGUAACCGGUCUAAGAGGACGGUCGGUCACACUGACACUGAAUAACGGGUCAGACUCCUACGGGAGGCAGCAGUCGGGAAUUUUGGGCAAUGGGCGAAAGCCUGACCCAGCAACGCCGCGUGAAGGAUGAAGUAUUUCGGUAUGUAAACUUCGAAAGAAUAGGAAGAAUUAAUGACGGUACUAUUUAUAAGGUCCGGCUAACUACGUGCCAGCCGCCGCAGUAAAAC
rnacentral:rRNA from 1 species